rnacentral:rRNA from 1 species
CCCUGAUGUUAGCGGCGGACGGGUGAGUAACACGUGGGUAACCUGCCUGUAAGACUGGGAUAACUCCGGGAAACCGGGGCUAAUACCGGAUGCUUGUUUGAACCGCAUGGUUCAAACAUAAAAGGUGGCUUCGGCUACCACUUACAGAUGGACCCGCGGCGCAUUAGCUGGUUGGUGAGGUAACGGCUCACCAAGGCAACGAUGCGUAGCCGACCUGAGAGGGUGAUCGGCCACACUGGGACUGAGACACGGCCCAGACUCCUACGGGAGGCAGCAGUAGGGAAUCUUCCGCAAUGGACGAAAGUCUGACGGAGCAACGCCGCGUGAGUGAUGAAGGUUUUCGGAUCGUAAAGCUCUGUUGUUAGGGAAGAACAAGUACCGUUCGAAUAGGGCGGUACCUUGACGGUACCUAACCAGAAAGCCACGGCUAACUACGUGCCAGCAGCCGCGGUAAUACGUAGGUGGCAAGCGUUGUCCGGAAUUAUUGGGCGUAAAGGGCUCGCAGGCGGUUUCUUAAGUCUGAUGUGAAAGCCCCCGGCUCAACCGGGGAGGGUCAUUGGAAACUGGGGAACUUGAGUGCAGAAGAGGAGAGUGGAAUUCCACGUGUAGCGGUGAAAUGCGUAGAGAUGUGGAGGAACACCAGUGGCGAAGGCGACUCUCUGGUCUGUAACUGACGCUGAGGAGCGAAAGCGUGGGGAGCGAACAGGAUUAGAUACCCUGGUAGUCCACGCCGUAAACGAUGAGUGCUAAGUGUUAGGGGGUUUCCGCCCCUUAGUGCUGCAGCUAACGCAUUAAGCACUCCGCCUGGGGAGUACGGUCGCAGACUGAAACUCAAAGGAAUUGACGGGGC